rnacentral:tRNA from 1 species
GGAGAUGUAGCUCAGUGGCACAGCACCUGCCUGGCAAGCACGAGGCCCUGGGUUUGAUUCCUGGUAUAACAA